ACACGACUACAUUAGAUACCCUGUAGUCCUAGCCGUAAACGAUACUCGCUAGGUGUCGGCCACGGUGCGACCGUUGUCGGUGCCGUAGGGAAGCCGUGAAGCGAGCCACCUGGGAAGUACGGCCGCAAGGCUGAAACUUAAAGGAAUUGGCGGGGGGAGCACCACAACGGGUGGAGCUUGCGGUUUAAUUGGAUUCAACGCCGGAAAUCUUACCGGGACCGACAGCAACAUGAAGGCCAGGCUGAAGACUUUGCCGGAUUAGCUG
rnacentral:rRNA from 1 species